rnacentral:rRNA from 1 species
GGAUGCGAUCAUAACAGCACUAAUGCAUCAGAUCCCAUCAGAACUCCGCAGUGAAGCGUGCUUGGGCGAGAGUAGUACUAGGAUGGGUGACCUCCCGGGAAGUCCUCGUGUUGCAUCCC